rnacentral:rRNA from 1 species
GACGAACGCUGGCGGCGUGCCUAAUACAUGCAAGUCGAGCGCAGGAAAUCGACGGAACCCUUCGGGGGGAAGUCGACGGAAUGAGCGGCGGACGGGUGAGUAACACGUAAAGAACCUGCCCUCAGGUCUGGGAUAACCACGAGAAAUCGGGGCUAAUACCGGAUGGGUCAUCGGACCGCAUGGUCCGAGGAUGAAAGGCGCUUCGGCGCAGCCUGGGGAUGGGUUGGGGGUGAAUUAGCUCGUUGGUGGGGUAAUGGCCCACCAAGGCGACGAGGCAUAGCCGACCUGAGAGGGUGAUCGGCCACACUGGGACUGAGACACGGCCCAGACUCCUACGGGAGGCAGCAGUAGGGAAUCUUCCACAAUGGACGAAAGUCUGAUGGAGCAACGCCGCGUGAACGAUGAAGGCCUUCGGGUCGUAAAGUUCUGUUGUAAGGGAAGAACAAGUGCCGCAGGCAAUGGCGGCACCUUGACGGUACCUUGCGAGAAAGCCACGGCUAACUACGUGCCAGCAGCCGCGGUAA